ensembl:misc_RNA
CCACAAGAUUCCCAGACUGAAGUGCGCAUUGACUCUCAGAAAAGGUACAGCAAGAGUAGAGGCCAGGCAAGCUUCCUCAUACUGUGCUGCAAUGGACCUCAACCCUGACCCAGAGGGACCACCUCUAGGGAUGAGAGGGUAACACAGUCUCCAUGCCACAUUUCUCAUUUAUUCCU